rnacentral:sRNA from 1 species
CCUGAAAUGUUUGUUCGCCUCGGCGGGUUUGCCUGU